CAGGCCUCCCUGUGGUCCGCAGGCCCGUCCACCAGGUCUUUGCGCCAGUCUUGCCUUCUGCCUGGGCCCCGCCUCCCCCAGCUAUUCACAUUCUCCCUCCCUCGCAUCUUCGGGUUUCUUUCUGCUCAAGUGUCCUCUCCUCAGAGGGGCCACUCCGGACUGACCCUUCGUCUGAAGUAGCAACCUCACCCUCAUUCUCUGCUCCCCUCACACUGCUGUGCGGAGGGCCUCGACUCUCGAUGGUUCCACGUGGGAUUCUUCGACUUUAGCAUGGUGCGAAAGACGUACGCAUUCGGUAGAGACCGUCCUUCGAAUUUGGAGUGUUGAUCUUUUCCCUGGCUGGCGGUCUGCAGCACGGUACUCCGUCUAACGCUGGGCAGUGGCCGCGACCUGCUGCUCCGGGGCAGCCGCGGGGUCACGAGGGGAAGCGACCAUCUCUGCAGUGCGCUCUGUUGCCACACGGUUCAUGAAGACGAGGCUAAGAUGUCACUCCCAUCUCACCGUGUGUUGUUGCUGGGCCAGCCUGACUUUAUUGACUUGUUGGACCUGACAGAACCCAGUUCAUGAGAUGCUGUAUUCUGACCUUCUUCCUCAUUGCGAUGACACAUCCAUUUGUCUUCCAACUGCAAACACUGCCUCCUGACUUCUAUUGUUUGGAGUCCUGACGUCUCCGUUGCUUCAGUGAGCCUAGUUUUGUAAUGACUUCACCUACCAACAUCUCAGACACAAAGAAGCAGGAAGACCCACCAGAACUGUCGUGCUAUUACUGACAUACAGACUCUGAAGUCAGUUCUCGCUUCAUUUCUUGGAAAAAUGUAGUUACGUCUGUAGAGCAUAAAUCUGUAAAAACACAAAAUUAAUACAUCAGAUCCAUCUUCAAAGUAUCCACAUUUGGGAAUUGGGAAACUACAGUAAGUAUUUUUCCUGCAACAAAUCAGAGACUAAGCCAGACACUGAAGCCCCAGAAUGCACCUGUGUUCGACAGUCCUAUCUGGGGAGUAACCCCGCGUGAUCUACUGCACCGGCUCUUUCAGAGAGAAGCCUCAGAAGGGAGGAGAAGAAUGUCUGCGGGUUUGUCUAGGGAAAAAUAAAAGAAAUAAUUGUUCUAAAAAAAGGAGAAAUUGGUAUUUCACGGGCAGCCCAAGUUGCACAGGAACACUUUAAACUUCUGUGGCUGGUAUCCUUCAUCUGAAAAUCACCAACUUGUUUAAAAAUCCCUCAUCUGGGGGUUUGGCUGCCUGCAAUCAUGCAACCUGAAACUGAGUGUGUCUAGGUACCCAUAUGUCCACAGCAGGGGGCCCCAGGGUACUCUGGUGGGCUGAAGCCUGAAUUCCUGUCACCAGCAUAUAUAUAGGAAGCAGCUAAACAAGAGUCCAUUUUGGACAUGAGUUAUCAGCCAUUAAGAAGAAGGAGCCAUGUCAAAAUGAGGUCAUGAUUUCAGUGGGCCUUGGGGCUUAUGGUAAAGGGAGCAUUUCUGUCCCAGACAUGGCACUUGACCACACUGUACAUUGUCCCCAAUCCUGGCUCUCGUAAGAUAGAGAUAACAUGACAUUGUCUAAGAACAAUACAGGUGGUCAUGGUGCACAGUUUUGGUGUGUGUGUG